AGGACGAACGCUGGCGGCGUGCUUAACACAUGCAAGUCGAGCGGAAAGGCCCUUUCGGGGGUACUCGAGCGGCGAACGGGUGAGUAACACGUGAGUAAUCUGCCCUCCACUCUGGGAUAACGUUCAGAAAUGGGUGCUAAUACCGGAUGUUCACUGGGUCCUGCAGUGGGGUUUGGUGGAAAGGUUUUUCUGGUGGGGGAUGUGCUCGCGGCCUAUCAGCUUGUUGGUGGGGUAAUGGCCUACCAAGGCUUUGACGGGUAGCCGGCCUGAGAGGGUGACCGGCCACACUGGGACUG
rnacentral:rRNA from 1 species